rnacentral:pre_miRNA from 1 species
CAGAUCUGGCCUUCUCUCCCACAGUGUUUGGCAAUGGUAGAACUCACUCCGGUGGGUUAGAAGGAUCCGGUGGUUCUAGACUUGCCAACAACUGACCGAGAGCU